rnacentral:rRNA from 1 species
UACGGGGGGGAGCAAGCGUUGUUCGGAUUUACUGGGCGUAAAGGGCGCGUAGGCGGCCAGCACAAGUCAGUUGUGAAAUCUCCGAGCUUAACUCGGAAAGGUCAACUGAUACUGUGCGGCUAGAGUGCGGAAGGGGCAACUGGAAUUCUUGGUGUAGCGGUGAAAUGCGUAGAUAUCAAGAGGAACACCUGCGGCGAAGGCGGGUUGCUGGGCCGAUACUGACGCUGAGGAGCGAAAGCGUGGGGAGCGAACAGG